GGUGUUAAUCCAUACACGUCUCACCCCAUCACCUGGAGACCAGCUUGAAGAGGUCGGUAACUAGACUGAACACCACACCCGGUUUAGCCAGGCCUAGGACACCAAAGCGCACCCUCAUCGCAGCCCUAGAGAUUUUGGACCGUCUGCUGCUCUCUGGGGCCCCCAGCCGGCCAUGGAGGAAAUGGAGCUGUGAAGACCCACAGUUCCGUCUCAGGUCCUUAGCUAGAAGAGUUCCAGCUUAGCCAGGGAGGCAUUGUCCCACUGGCUGAAGAUCCGACCGGGGAUCCUCGCUCUUUGAACUGCAGUCUCACGCGAGGUUCAGUGUAGUCUGGGACCCUCACCAUGCACCGUGUUUUUCGAUGCUUCCGGGCGCCGGUGGAGCAGCGAGACUAUGAAUCAGCACCAGUUUGGUCCUGGACCUGGCUUUGCAGAGCAGCAACACUUUGAGGAAGGAUCGCCAUCCUCACUCCUGGUCACCCAGAGGACGUCGUAGGGCGGAGAAUUGCAAGGGAGAGGAGGUGGGAGAAGUGACGAAGGGGAGAAAGCACUGCCCAGUCUGGCAACCUGACCUUCUAGGGCUGGCUAACCACUCCCCCGCAGAGCCAGAGCAGAGGGACUCCCAUUGUUGUCCCUGCUGGGCCUCUAGGGGCUUCGCAUUCUAGCAUCCCAAAGCCAUUGGCUAAGCCUUAUCCAGGAGAGCCAGGUAAGAGGGACGUAACAGGGUUCCAGGAAUCUCAGCCUUUGUCCUGUUUGUCUUGUUCUUCCAUAUAAAUGUCUGGAGCAAUUUUUGCGCCUCUGGAGGGCCUAAGUGCCCUGGAUGCUGCGAGUGGCCAUCCACUUGUGUGUCCGCUGUGCCACGGACAGUACGAGCGCCCGUGCCUGCUGGACUGUUUCCACGACUUCUGCACUGGCUGCUUGCGUGGCCGGGCCACCGAUGGCCGCCUGUCCUGUCCACUGUGCCAGCACCAGACCCUAGUGAAGGGUCCCAGUGGCCUCCCGCCAGUGGACCGGCUGCUGCAGUUCCUGGUGGAUAGCUCUGGGGAUGGCUCGGAGGCCGUGCGCUGUGCCAACUGUGACCUGGAGUGCAGCCAGCAGGACGCAGAGACCACAUACUUCUGCAAUACCUGCGGGCAGCCCCUGUGCGCGCGCUGCCGCGAAGAGACGCACCGUGCGCGCAUGUUCGCGCGCCAUGACAUUGUAGCCCUGGGCCAGCGCAGCCGCGACGUGAUCCAGAAGUGUACGCUGCAUUCGGAGCCGUACAUCAUGUUUUCCACCGACAAGAAGUCGCUGCUGUGCAUCCGCUGCUUUCGGGACAUGCAGGGGGAGAGCCGGGCCCACUGUGUGGACCUGGAGUCAGCUUAUGUGCAAGGUUGCGAGCGGCUGGAGCAGGCGGUGCUGGCAGUGAAAGCCCUGCAGACAGCCACGAAAGAGGCCAUCGCGCUGCUACAGUCCAUGGUGGAGGAGGUGAGGCACAGUGCCGCGGAGGAGGAGGCAGCCAUCCACGCACUCUUUGGCAGCAUGCAGGACAGAAUGGCAGAGAGGAAAGCGCUGCUGCUGCAGACUGUGCAGAGCCAAUAUGAAGAGAAGGACAAAGCCUUCAAGGAACAGCUGACCCACCUGGCCUCCUUGCUGCCCACUCUACAGGUUCACCUGGUCAUCUGCUCUUCCUUCCUCAGCUUGGCCAGCAAAGCUGAGUUUCUGGAUUUGGGUUAUGAGCUGAUGGAGAGACUUCAAGGCAUCGUCACGCGGCCGCAUCGCCUAAGACCGGCUCAGAGCAGCAAGAUCGCCAGCGACCACCGCGCAGAAUUCGCGCGCUGCCUGGAGCCACUGCUGCUGCUGGGGCCCCGCCGGGAGGUGUCCACCGUGGGAGGCGCCAACACGUGAGACAACCAGGAGGGCGAGCGGAAUCACUGAGAAAGGCUCCCGCACCACUCUGCUCUGCACUUGGGGUCUGGGCCAGGCGACAGUCUGAAAGCGAGGGACGCUGGGGCAGGAAACCCCGGGCAGGUUGUCAGGGGGCUCAAGUCCCAUGGUGCUGAAGACACCCAGCUGUCCCUCUCCGGUGGGAAAGAUGUCAGGGUCACCUGUCCAGAAACCCUCGCCACACCGUUUCAUUAGCACAAAGGUGCUCCUGGCCGAAGGCGAGGACACACCCUUCACAGAGCACUGCCGCCAUUACGAGGAUUCCUAUCGGGGUCUGCAGGUGGAGGUGCAGAACCUGAAGGACCAGGUCCAGGAACUGCACCGAGACCUCACGAAGCACCACUCCCUCAUCAAGGCGGAGAUCAUGGGGGAUAUCCUGCGCAGGUCCCUGCUGCUGGACACGCAGAUCGCUUCUGAGUAUGCCUCCUUGGAAGGCAGGAGAGCCAUCUUCCAGGAGAUUUGGGAGGACUCCUACCAGCGAGUAGCUACCCAGCAGGAGAUCUAUGAAGCCCAGCUCCGAGACCUUCUCCAGCUGAGGCAGGAGAAUGCCUAUCUCACCAUUGUCACCAAGCAGAUCACGCCCUACAUACGCUCCAUUGCCAGGGUGAAGGAGCGACUGGAGCCCAGGUUCCAGGUACCUGUGGAUGAGCACGCGGAGCACGGGCAGAACAUGUAUGACGAGACCCCAGGCAGGACAGAUCCAGGAUGCACCACUGAGAAGAGAGACAAGGCCUCUGAGCCCAAUGGAAGCAGCUGGUCCCUGAGCAGCCUCCCCGAAGGGCCUUCACUAAAGAACCAAGACCACCUCAGACCCAAGUUGGAAGCCGGAGAUGAGGGGUGGAGAGCUGGCUCAGGGUCUAAAGGGGCUUGCUACCAAGCCUGACAACCUGGAGUGACAUGGCAGAAGGAAAGAACGAACUCAGAUGUAGAACUAUACCCGAUAAUCGCAUCUAGAGGGUUCCUCACCACCAGCAUCAAAUCAUCUGCAUUUUGCCUAUCCGGCUCUCUUCUGAGCACAGCGGUUCUCAACCUUCCUAAUUCUGUGACCCUCUAAUACAGUUCCCCUGGUGUGGGGACCCCCAACCAUGAAAUUACUUCAUUACUACUUCAUAGCUGUAAUGUUGCUACUGCUAUGAAUAAUAAUGUAAACACCCGACAUGCAGGACACCUGAUACAGGACUCCUCAUAGUGAAACCAAGUACAGUUUUAUUUAAGAAUUAGAAAGAAUAUUCAGUAUCUGUGAAAGAAAAUCCAAUUUAAUAUAUUUAAAUAAACAUUUCUGUAUGUAAAAA